rnacentral:rRNA from 1 species
GAUGAACGCUGGCGGUAUGCCUAACACAUGCAAGUCGAACGAUCCCUUCGGGGAGAGUGGCGAAAGGGCGAGGAAUAUAAUCGAAUGUACCCCAAGGUAGAGGAUAGCUUCUGGAAACGGGAGGUAAUACUCUAUGUGCUCUACGGAGGAAAGGUUUACCGCCUUGGGAGCGGCGAUUAUCCUAUCAGGUAGUUGGUGAGGUAAAGGCUCACCAAGCCGAAGACGGGUAGCGGGUGUGAGAGCAUGACCCGCCGCAUCGGGACUGAGACACUGCCCGGACUCCUACGGGAGGCUGCAGUAACGAAUCUUCCGCAAUGGGCGAAAGCCUGACGGAGCAAUGCCGCGUGUGGGAUUAAGCAUCUUCGAUGUGUAAACCACUGUCAGGGUCUAGGAAUACUGACCAGACCCAAAGGAAGGGCCGGCUAAUUCAGUGCCAGCAGCCGCGGUAAUACUGAAGGCCCGAGCGUUAAUCGGAAUCACUGGGCUUAAAGCGUACGCAGGCGGACUUGUAGGUAUUUUGUGAAAUCCCACGGCUUAACCGUGGAACUGCAGAGUAAACCACAAGUCUUGAGACAUGUAGGGGUCAGUGGAACCAUGAGUGGAGCGGUGAAAUGCGUAGAUACUCAUGGGAACGCCAAUGGCGAAGGCAGCUGACUGGGCAUGUUCUGACGCUCAGGUACGAAAGCGUGGGUAGCGAACGGGAUUAGAUACCCCGGUAGUCCACGCCGUAAACGAUGCACACUAGGUCGCGGGAACUCUCAUGUUUUCGCGGCCGAAGGUAAACUGAUAAGUGUGCCGCCUGGGGAGUACGGCCGCAAGGCUA